rnacentral:rRNA from 1 species
UACAGAGGCCACGAGCGUUAGGCGGAAUCACUGGGCUUAAAGCGUGUGUAGGUGGAUGGGUAAGUACCUUGUGAAAUCCCACGGCUCAACCGUGGAACUGCUUGGGUAUACUGCCUGUCUUGAGGCACUCAGGGGCGAGCGGAACAAAUGGUGGAGCGGUGAAAUGCGUAGAUAUCAUUUGGAACGCCAAUGGUGAAGACAGCUCGCUGGGGGGUGUACUGACAC